ACUCUAACUAAAUACUGUAGUAGAAUACUCCCUUCAGACAAAUAGGGGUGAGAUAAGGAUAUCAGCACUAUUCCCAAAAAUCAUCGAUCUGCUCCUUCACCCGCGCGACGACCAACGACGAUUCUACCGUCGUGAGAUCGAUUCUGGCCGGCACACUAUUCUGACCUUCUCCAUCUCGCCGUCGUAGACCUGCUGGUGGUAGCUUGCUCUAUCGCCGCAGGAGAAGAAAAUCGAUGCCCCUACUGUUUUGGGUUCCUUCCGGCGACUUCGCAGCGUUUUCUGACGUCUCCGACCACCGAUCGGGUUGUUCUUGGCAUCGAUUUAAGUUGUAAUUAGUUUUUGGAUUGGAUGAAGUUUUGAUAAACUUAAUUUCUGGGUUUUGAUGUUCUUCGACAUUGGGACUGGUUUUGGCAUCCAUUUGAUUUAAUGGUUAUCUCAUUCUGGGUUUACUAGUCUCCAGAAGAUGAAUUAAUGAAAUUGAUUAUGGCUAUUGCUUGAAAUGAAGAAGAUUAGGGUUUCGACGCCUCUCUCUGGUGGGACCCGUUCUCUCUCCUCCUCCUCCGACCUCCCUCCCAAUCUGGUCAAGAAAUUGAAGGCCAAUCACGCCUGGUUCGUCGGCACAGUGAGCCUCUUCAAGCCGCUGAGUGAGAAAUCAAAGGCCGCUUUGGAUUCGCAGCUCGUCAAGAUCGGCUCUCACCAGCUCGAUAUCAAGCCUGAGUUGAAGGACAAGGCUCUCACCAUCAGCUCCUACUUGGUGAGCUUCGAGAUUUUGAUUUUGUGUUUAUAGUUGCUUAUCUUAUAGAAAUUUGGAUAUUUUGUGCAUUAAUCUGUGGAAAAUUGUACUCCUGAUUGCUUUCAUUUGCGUCGUCGAUUGUCGUGUUGUGAUGAGAGUUAGUUUGUGGUUAUCUCUUAUGCAUGUGUUGAUUUACUAUUAUAUUGAGCGGCAAUAAUGCUGAAGUGUACCAGGAGUAUACUCAUGCUUGCUUGUAAGUCAUUAGUGAGAGCUAAAAUCUCUAGGAGAUUAUGGAUACUUUCUGAAGACUCUGGACAAUGUUUGAAAUUUGUACUUACUAUUUGAUGUUGGAUGCAACAAUGUCUCUGGGAAUUGAAUCUGGAGAAGGAAGUGCUAUUAAGGAGGAAGCACUGAAGUUGGUUUCUGAUGGACUGGAGAAGAAAUUAAUAUCUCUGCUGCAAGACCUAUUUUCUUCCAGUCCCACUGAUGAAAUGGAUGUUGACUUUUUUAGUUUGUGGGCUGAGGAGACACUAAUUGAAGACAAUUUGGUUUUCGAAAUUCUUUUCCUUGCUUAUUACGAGUCACUUUGUACUUGUAAUGGUGGAACAUGAAAAGUUAUAUGCUUGCUCUAUAAGGGGAUUUUAUCUGGGUCUUCUAACUUUUAAAAGCUGGGAACAUCUACUGAAGCACUGCGAUCCUGUUACCAAGCUAAAGUUCAGAUUCUUCUAAUUCUUAUAGAAACCCUCGACCUGGAGAGUCUUCUCAAAAUGGUCCAUGAUGAAGUACCUUUCAGGACAAUGUUAUUUCCUGGAUCAUGUCACCAAGUAUGAACAUGCCCUUAGGGAGGCUAAGGGAUGAACUCUGUGUUUGUGAGGCAGACACAUGCAUGCUUUGACUGGUGGUCUGGUCUGGUCUUUCAAUAUCUGGGCUGGUCUUGCAUCAAAAGCUUAAAAUACUGGUGCAGUGACUGGUGGACCUGAUAGCAUUAAGAAGUUCAUAGCAGCACUCACUGAAGUUGCAGAGAAGAAAUCUCAAUCAAUCCUAGAAAUGCAAUCAACUCCAAUGGAAGGGUAUGUGCAUUUACUUGGACAGUAGGCUUUAGGAGCUCGUUUUUUAGGCAUAUUGCUAGUAUCUAUUCUCCUUCUUUUUAUCUUAGACUCGGUUAGUAUCUAUUAGGGUCCUUUUGGACAUGAAUUAUGUAUAUUUUGGGUAAUGGCUUCUGCUACAUUAGAUACAACAAUAUUAUGUUAGAUUCUGACUAGGAAGUAGUCAAAUCAUGUAAUUAUUGUGGUCUGGAAAUGACCCUUUUUGUAUAUUGCUCAA